UCCCAGACUCCUACGGGAGGCAGCAGUGGGGAAUAUUGCGCAAUGGGGGCAACCCUGACGCAGCAACGCCGCGUGAUUGAAGAAGGCCUUCGGGUUGUAAAGAUCUUUAAUCAGGGACGAAAAAUGACGGUACCUGAAGAAUAAGCUCCGGCUAACUACGUGCCAGCAGCCGCGGUAAUACGUAGGGAGCAAGCGUUAUCCGGAUUUACUGGGUGUAAAGGGCGUGUAGGCGGGCGUGUAAGUCAGAAGUGAAAUCUGGGGGCUUAACCCCCAAACUGCUUUUGAAACUGCGGGUCUUGAGUGAUGGAGAGGCAGGCGGAAUUCCCAGUGUAGCGGUGAAAUGCGUAGAUAUUAGGAGGAACACCGGUGGCGAGGGCGGCCUGCUGGACUGUGACUGACGUUGAGGUCCGAAGGCGUGGGGAGCAAACAGGAUUAGAUACCCGUGUAC
rnacentral:rRNA from 1 species